rnacentral:piRNA from 1 species
UAGAAAGCUUGUAAAAGCCAAAGUGGUAGU